AGUCACUGACAUUAGAUACCCCUGUAGUCCCAGCCGUAAACAAUGUGCGUUAGGUGUGUCGGUAACCACGUGUUACUGAUGCGCCGAAGAGAAAUCGUGAAACGCACCACCUGGGAAGUACGGUCGCAAGGCUGAAACUUAAAGGAAUUGGCGGGGGAGGCACCACAACAGGUGGAGCCUGCGGUUUAAUUUGGAUUCAACGCCGGACAUCUCACCGGAUAAGACAGCUGAAUGAUUGUCAAUCUGAAGGUUUUACAUGACUAGCUG
rnacentral:rRNA from 1 species